rnacentral:misc_RNA from 1 species
GAUGAAGAACGUAGCGAAAUGCGAUACUUGGUGUGAAUUGCAGAAUCCCGUGAACCAUCGAGUCUUUGAACGCAAGUUGCGCCCGAAGCCAUUAGGCCGAGGGCACGCCUGCCUGGGCGUCACACGUCGUUGCCCCCCCAUCUACUCCUUCGGGAUUGCGGGGGGCGGAUGAUGGCCUCCCGUGCGCCUCGUCGCGCGGUUGGCAUAAAUGCCAAGUCCUCGGCGACGCACGCCACGACAAUCGGUGGUUGCGAAACCUCGGUUGCCCGUCGUGUGCGGUCGUCGCGCAUCGAGGGCUCGAAAAAAUUGCCGAGCUCCGGCUCGGCUUUCAACGCGACCCCAGGUCAGGCGGGGUUACCCGCUGAAUUUAAGCAUAUCAAUAAGCGGAGGA